rnacentral:rRNA from 1 species
CAGACUCCUACGGGAGGCAGCAGUGCUGAAUCAUUCGCCAAUGCGCGAAAGCGUGACGGUGCGACGCCGCGUGCGGGAUGAAGGCUUUCGGGUUGUAACCGCUGUCAGGACUUCGAAAACCGUAAUGGUUGAUAGCCAUUGCGCUGAUCCGGUCCAAAGGAAGCACAGGCUAAUCUCGUGCCAGCAGCCGCGGUAACACGAGAUGUGCGAGCGUUGUUCGGAAUUACUGGGCGUAAAGGGUGCGUAGGCGGUACGGUCAGUCAGAUGUGAAAUCCCUCGGCUCAACCGGGGAAUUGCAUUUGAUACUGCCGUGCUUGAGGUCGGAAGGGGCAAGCGGAAUUCCAGGUGUAGCGGUGGAAUGCGUAGAUAUCUGGGAGAACGCCAACGGCGAAGGCAGCUUGCUGGUCCGUACCUGACGCUGAGGCACGAAAGCUAGGGGAGCGAACAGGAUUAGAUACCCUGGUAGUCCUAGCCGUAAACGAUGGGCACUUUGUAUCGGGACCUCUGACGGUUUCGGUGCCGGAGCUAACGCGUUAAGUGCCCCGCCUGGGGAGUAUGGUCGCAAGGCUAAAACUCAAAGGAAUUGACGGGGGCUCACACAAGCGGUGGAGCAUGUUGUUUAAUUCGAAGCAACGCGAAGAACCUUACCAGGGCUUGACAUGCUAGUGGUACGACCUAGAGAUAGGAAGGACCUCCUUUUGGAGGAGCUAGCACAGGUGCUGCAUGGCUGUCGUCAGCUCGUGUCGUGAGACGUUGGGUUAAGUCCCGUAACGAGCGAAACCCCUGUCGUCUGU